AUGAACGCUAGCGACAGGCUUAACACAUGCAAGUCGAGGGGCAUCAUGAGGUAGCAAUACCUUGAUGGCGACCGGCGCACGGGUGAGUAACGCGUAUGCAACCUGCCCGAUACCGGGGUAUAGCCCAUGGAAACGUGGAUUAACACCCCAUAGUACUUUUAUCCUGCAUGGGAUAGGAGUUAAAUGUUCAAGGUAUCGGAUGGGCAUGCGUCCUAUUAGUUAGUUGGCGGGGUAACAGCCCACCAAGACGAUGAUAGGUAGGGGUUCUGAGAGGAAGGUCCCCCACAUUGGAACUGAGACACGGUCCAAACUCCUACGGGAGGCAGCAGUGAGGAAUAUUGGUCAAUGGACGAAAGUCUGAACCAGCCAAGUCGCGUGAGGGAAGACUGCCCUAUGGGUUGUAAACCUCUUUUAUAAGGGAAGAAUAAGUUCUACGUGUAGAAUGAUGCCUGUACCUUAUGAAUAAGCAUCGGCUAACUCCGUGCCAGCAGCCGCGGUAAUACGGAGGAUGCGAGCGUUAUCCGGAUUUAUUGGGUUUAAAGGGUGCGUAGGCGGUUUAUUAAGUUAGUGGUUAAAUAUUUGAGCUAAACUCAAUUGUGCCAUUAAUACUGGUAAACUGGAGUACAGACGAGGUAGGCGGAAUAAGUUAAGUAGCGGUGAAAUGCAUAGAUAUAACUUAGAACUCCGAUAGCGAAGGCAGCUUACCAGACUGUAACUGACGCUGAUGCACGAGAGCGUGGGUAGCGAACAGGAUUAGAUACCCUGGUAGUCCACGCCGUAAACGAUGCUCACUGGUUCUGUGCGAUAUAUUGUACGGGAUUAAGCGAAAGUAUUAAGUGAGCCACCUGGGGAGUACGUCGGCAACGAUGAAACUCAAAGGAAUUGACGGGGGCCCGCACAAGCGGAGGAACAUGUGGUUUAAUUCGAUGAUACGCGAGGAACCUUACCCGGGCUUAAAUUGCAGAUGAAUUACGGUGAAAGCCGUAAGCCGCAAGGCAUCUGUGAAGGUGCUGCAUGGUUGUCGUCAGCUCGUGCCGUGAGGUGUCGGCUUAAGUGCCAUAACGAGCGCAACCCUUAUCUUUAGUUACUAACAGGUUAUGCUGAGGACUCUAGAGAGACUGCCGUCGUAAGAUGUGAGGAAGGUGGGGAUGACGUCAAAUCAGCACGGCCCUUACACCCAGGGCUACACACGUGUUACAAUGGCCGGUACAGAGGGCCGCUACCAGGUGACUGGAUGCCAAUCUCAAAAGCCGGUCGUAGUUCGGAUUGGAGUCUGUAACCCGACUCCAUGAAGUUGGAUUCGCUAGUAAUCGCGCAUCAGCCAUGGCGCGGUGAAUACGUUCCCGGGCCUUGUACACACCGCCCGUCAAGCCAUGGAAGCCGGGGGUGCCUGAAGUCCGUAACCGCGAGGAUCGGCCUAGGGCAAAACUGGUAACUGGGGCU
rnacentral:rRNA from 1 species